rnacentral:tRNA from 1 species
GGGGGAGUAGCUCACUUGGUAGAGCGGUCGCUUCGCAUGCGACAGGCACCGGGAUCGAUACCCGGCUUCUCCA